CAGCUAGUUGGUGAGGUCACGGCUCACCAAGGCUAUGACGGGUAGCUGGUCUGAGAGGACGACCAGCCACACGGGAACUGAGACACGGUCCCGACUCCUACGGGAGGCAGCAGUGGGGAAUUUUCCGCAAUGGGCGAAAGCCUGACGGAGUGACGCCGCGUGGGGGAUGAAGGCCUUUGGGUUGUAAACCCCUGUCAGAGGGAAAGAAGGGUCGGCGUGUGAAUAGCGCGUCGAUCUGACGGUACCUUCAGAGGAAGCCCCGGCCAACUCUGUGCCAGCAGCCGCGGUAAGACAGAGGGGGCAAGCGUUGCUCGGAAUUACUGGGCGUAAAGGGCGCGUAGGCGGGAUGGCAAGUCGGUCGUGAAAUCCCUGGGCUCAACUCAGGGGGGUCGGCCGAUACUGCCGUUCUUGAGGGAUGCAGAGGAGACUGGAAUUCCCGGUGUAGCGGUGAAAUGUGUAGAGAUCGGGAGGAACACC
rnacentral:rRNA from 1 species